UUGCAGCCCAAAGCCGCCAGCUUUCUGGAAAUGGCAAGUGAGACACUUGUUGCCAUGGUGAUUCCUAAUAGUUCUGACUCAGAUGUAGCGUUGCUGUGGCAACUGCAUCCGAAGCCCUCGGGAGGCAGUGCUGCCGCUAUUUUUCUCUCGUAGCAGAAAAGGGCUCCUAGAGCCCCGUUUCGCUCCCUCCCCGCUGCAGUGCGGUGACGAAGGCUGUCUCGCUGUCCCCCCACUGUCCGAGGCUCCCGAGCUUUCACCAAAGGGUCCGCUACUCUGCAGGGCAGAACCAAAAUCUCGACGGCCUCGCUGCGGGCGCGUCGUCCGCACCGUAGGGCGUUCCCAGCCCCCGCCUUUCAGAGCAAGAAACGUAUAGAUCGCUAUUUAUUUUCUCACUAGUAACGUCGCUUCCUAGGUAGGAGCCGGCUCCUUCCAUCCCACGGCCGCUUCCAGUUGGGGUGUGCGUGCAGAGGCGGAUGGGAAAGGGAACAUGUGCAUUCUGCACGUGGGCAUCCUUGGACCGACAUCAGCCAAAGCCCCGUCCUGAGAGACCAGGGCAUGGUUCCCCACCUCGGUGCUUUGCCUCAGCCAAACGCCUGACUGCUCGGUCAGGCAGGUGGAGACACCAAAAGGAUGCGAAAAGCUGCCCUGAGCUCCCAGGGAGGUUCGUAAACUUUGGGUUUUUAUUUUUAUUUAUUUAUUUAUUUAUUUAUUUUGAGCUUGCCAGAGAAUCACAUCAGCCUGUCUUCUGCCUGGCUCUCCUAGCCACCGUCUUGCACUGGUAGUGCACGGGGAGAUGCACUAGAGCUGAUUUCAGACACACUGGGGUAACCGGAGGGAUGAUUCAUCAAGAUGGGAAAUAGUGUUAGUGUUGGGUGUGCGUUGAUGUGGCUGAUGGGAGCAGUGUAAAAGUGACAGGUGCAAAAGAAUAAGGGAUGGCAAUGAAGCAAUUAGCCACAUUUUGCGAAGGAAAAGGGCUGAGGAUGACUCCCAAGUGUCAGAUUCAGGUGAUGAGAGCAGAGAAUGCUUAACAGCAAAGAUGGCAUGGAGAAUGGUUGCUCUCUGCUGUGAGAACCAGGGACCAGCCAAUUGCACUAUCAGAUGAAACAGAGUGUUCUUCAGACACAUCAUUCAGGCAAAUAGCUACAGAUGAGAAGUUUCUUGGAAGAUGAGAAUCAAGCAGUCCUCUUUCUGACCUCCUCAGCUAUCUCCCUUCAAGGGUGGUAAGGGCAGCCACUCACAAGCAGCACAACUUUGCAUCAGUUGCGUCCAUGUUUUAUUUCAUUUUUAUUUGCUAUUAUUUAUCUUCCUCUUUGUAUUUGAUCUCCUGUGCUUUUUGAAUAUACACAGCCAGAAAUUAGGCUAGGGAGGAGAUUUGUGAUGUGUGAUACCCAGGCAUGUUCCUGUAAAGAGAGCCAUUUUGCUGUAGGUCUUGCGACCGGCAGAGCUGGAAACUGAGGGACUGCAUGCGUGCUUCUGAUUAUUAUACUAGAUCUGGUAUCUGUCAGGGUGCUGGACAUUUCUGCAGUGAUUUUCUGUAGCAGCCAAUGAGCACGUAUGUGUUGUUCUCCAAACCCUUGUUCUCCCUGAAUCCCAACAUUUUG
ensembl:lncRNA